GAUGAACGCUGGCGGCGUGCCUAAUACAUGCAAGUCGAGCGAACAGACGAGGAGCUUGCUCCUCUGACGUUAGCGGCGGACGGGUGAGUAACACGUGGAUAACCUACCUAUAAGACUGGGAUAACUUCGGGAAACCGGAGCUAAUACCGGAUAAUAUAUUGAACCGCAUGGUUCAAUAGUGAAAGACGGUUUUGCUGUCACUUAUAGAUGGAUCCGCGCUGCAUUAGCUAGUUGGUAAGGUAACGGCUUACCAAGGCAACGAUGCGUAGCCGACCUGAGAGGGUGAUCGGCCACACUGGAACUGAGACACGGUCCAGACUCCUACGGGAGGCAGCAGUAGGGAAUCUUCCGCAAUGGGCGAAAGCCUGACGGAGCAACGCCGCGUGAGUGAUGAAGGUCUUCGGAUCGUAAAACUCUGUUAUUAGGGAAGAACAAAUGUGUAAGUAACUAUGCACGUCUUGACGGUACCUAAUCAGAAAGCCACGGCCAACUACGUG
rnacentral:rRNA from 1 species